AUGCGAGUCGAAUGGAAUCGCUGAUUCCAUGGCGAACUGCUCAGUAACAAGUGAUCAACUUACCCUUCAGUGGCGGAUAACCUCGGGAAACUGAGGCUAAUCCACCAUAGUUGGCACACCCUGGAACGGGGUGCCCUCAAAAGAUAUUUCGAAAUGCCGAAUGUCGCUGAAGGAUAGGAUCGCUUUCGAUUACGGUUGUUGGUGAGGUAAUGGCUCACCAAGCCUCUGAUCGAUAAGGGCCGUGAGAGCGGUAGCCCUGAGAUGGAUACUGAGACAAUGAUCCAGGCCUUACGAGGCGCAGCAGGCGCGAAACCUUUACAAUGCACGACAGUGUGAUAAGGUUACCCGGAGUGCUAAGAGAAAACUUGCUGUUAUAGGUGUGUAAAAUCCCUAUGAGAAAGGAGAGGGCAAGGCUGGUGCCAGCCGCCGCGGUAAAACCAGCUCUUCAAGUGGUCGGGAAUAUUAUUGGGCUUAAAGCGUCCGUAGCCGGUUAGAACAGUCCCUGGUAAAAUCUGGCAGCUUAACUGUCAGGUCGCUAGGAAUACUAUCUUACUAGAGGGUGGGAAAGGUUUGGGGUACUCCAGGGGUAGCGGUGAAAUGCGAUAAUCCGUGGGGGACCACCAGUGGCGAAGGCGCCAGACUGGAACACGCCUGACGGUGAGGGACGAAAGCCAGGGGAGCGAACGGGAUUAGAUACCCCGGUAGUCCUGGCCGUAAACGAUGCGUGCUAGGUGUUGGUAGGGCUUUGAGCCGUAUCAGUGCCGUAGGGAAACUGUUAAGCGCGCCGCCUGGGAAGUACGCUCGCAAGAGUGAAACUUAAAGGAAUUGGCGGGGGAGCACCACAAGGGGUGAAGCCUGCGGUUCAAUUGGAUUCAACGCCGGAA
rnacentral:rRNA from 1 species